rnacentral:rRNA from 1 species
UACGUAGGUGGCAAGCGUUGUCCGGAUUUACUGGGCGUAAAGAGCGCGCAGGCGGUCGUUCAAGUCGCGUGUGAAAGCCCCCGGCUCAACUGGGGAGGGUCACGCGAUACUGAUCGACUCGAAGGCAGGAGAGGGUAGUGGAAUUCCCGGUGUAGUGGUGAAAUGCGCAGAGUAUCAGGAGGAACACCGGUGGCGAAGGCGGGUCUCUGGGCCGAUACUGACGCUGAGGAGCGAAAGCGUGGGAGCGAACAGG